AGCCGGAGUUCAAGAAUCUGAGGUUGGUCGGCGUUCUCGGCGCGGGCGGGUUCGGUUCCGUCACGCUG
rnacentral:tRNA from 1 species